UACGGAAGGGUGCAAGCGUUAUCCGGAUUCACUGGGUUUAAAGGGUGCGUAGGUGGGCUUGUAAGUCAGUGGUGAAAUCUCCGUGCUUAACAUGGAAACUGCCAUUGAUACUAUGAGUCUUGAAUUUUCUGGAGGUCAGCGGAAUAUGUCAUGUAGCGGUGAAAUGCUUAGAUAUGACAUAGAACACCGAUUGCGAAGGCAGCUGGCUACAGGGAUAUUGACACUGAGGCACGAAAGCGUGGGGAUCAAACAGG
rnacentral:rRNA from 1 species